CGAAAGCCUGACGGAGCAAGACCGCGUGAGGGAGGAAGGCUCUUGGGUUGUAAACCUCUUUUCUCCGGGAAGAAGCACUGACGGUACCUGAGGAAUCAGCAUCGGCUAACUCCGUGCCAGCAGCCGCGGUAAUACGGAGGAUGCAAGCGUUAUCCGGAAUCAUUGGGCGUAAAGCGUCCGCAGGUGGCUCUUCAAGUCUGCCGUCAAAACUCAGGGCUUAACCCUGAACAGGCGGUGGAAACUGAAAAGCUAGAGUGCGGUAGGGGUAGAGGGAAUUCCCGGUGUAGCGGUGAAAUGCGUAGAGAUUGGGAAGAACACCAGUGGCGAAGGCGCUCUACUGGGCCGUAACUGACGCUCAGGGACGAAAGCUAGGGGAGCG
rnacentral:rRNA from 1 species